GAAGUUACCGGAACCGCCCGCCACAGCGGUAGUAUUCCAAUUCAUUUCUUGCGGCAGUAUUUAAGCCUGUAACAAUGGGUAUUUCGAGCCAGUCGGGUUUUGUCUUCAAAAUCAGACACAAGGAUAAUCAGAGCCCUUUGUUUGUUCAAGGACCGGAUAUCAGAUUAUUAAUGCUUUGGAUUAAUAUUAAUAAUAUCAGCGCUUUUCUAUCGUCUUCAUAUGAUAUUCAAUCAUGGAGUCGGAGUUCCAGUGUGUGGAGCAUACGCCUCAUACGGAUAAUGUGGGCGUGGCAGGCAAUGUCGUAGGUGUUGACAGGAUUGUUGCGCAGACAAGCAGUCCUAUAGUUGCGACAGGCACUACGGUAGCAGGUACUUUUAUACCUGGAAGCAUGAAGGACUUAAGGAUGUAUAAAUGCAUCAGACACUUAUUGUGUUUAUUUCAACUGCUGCUGUUGGAUUUGAACUGAAAUUUGGCAACAUAGAAUAUCUUCUUUACAACAACACUGUCGUGAAGGUGGCUGAAGCUGUUUUCAGUUAUUUUACAAAAGUUGGCAUUGCAAUGACCAAGGCUACAGUUGACAAUAAGAUUAGAAGGCAUAACACUGACAUUAAGAAUUUUCUUAGGUUGAUUACCCGCAGCUGGCAUUUAGUUGCGCCUUACUUGGACAAAGUUUUUUUUUCCAAUACUGCUGGCAAUAAGAGACCUUUCCAAGACAGCCCUGAACGAACUAGUAUGGUGAAGAAGUUGCGACCUGAAGGUGAUGUUGAGGCCACUGAAGGGCCAGGUAACACCGAACAACACUGUGCUCGUUGUUGCGCAUGACAACAGCAUUUUGUAGCUUACAGUGCCAGUUUGUCAGAAAAACUACUUGUCAGCAGAAAAGAGGUUCGUCUUUUAAGGAAGCGCUACAACACCAGAAGAGUCAUUCAGGACCUUAGACGGAAAUCUAUGCUGAUAACAUCUUAUCGCCAAGUGAACGCUGCCCUGAAGAGGGAAAAUGAACGCCUGUAUAAAGAAACUCAUCAGUUGAGUUUGUAACUGAAGAAGGCAGCAGCUGGACUUUCUAAAUGGAAAAGAAUUGCUAAAAGAAGAUCAGAGCAGAGAAACCUUUUGAAGAACUGAAUUCAGUCGUUAAAGUUAUCUUUGGAGGAAGCUCAGCAAAACAGAUAGGGUACACCCAAACAAUGUUCAUCUUCAAACAAUGCAUGAUGCUCACAAGCUUUGGAUGCUGGCUUACAUUUGCAAACACACAGAUGACAUCAAGAAAUCUGUUUGUUAUUUGCAUUGUAUAU